UUACGGUCAUAUCACGUUGCAACACCGGCUCCUGUACGAUCACCGAAGUUAAGCAACUUGGAAGGUAAGCGAGCCUGGUAAGUACCUUGAUGGGUGACCGCUUGGAGAUUCUUAGGGCUGG